rnacentral:rRNA from 1 species
ACGGGGUGCAGCAGGCGCGAAAACUUUACAAUGCGGGAAACCGUGAUAAGGGAAUCUCGAGUGCCAGCAUAUAAUGUUGGCUGUCCAGAUGCCUAAAAAGCAUCUGUUAGCAAGGGCCGGGCAAGACCGGUGCCAGCCGCCGCGGUAACACCGGCGGCCCGAGUGGUAACCGCUUUUAUUGGGUCUAAAGGGUCUGUAGCCGGCCAAGUAAGUCCCUUGGGAAAUCUGGCAGCUUAACUGUCAGGCUGCUAGGGGAUACUGCUAGGCUUGGGACCGGGAGAGGUGAGAGGUACCUUGGGGGUAGGGGUGAAAUCUUGUGAUCCUCGGGGGACCACCAGUGGCGAAGGCGUCUCACCAGAACGGGUCCGACGGUAAGGGACGAAAGCUAGGGGCACGAACCGGAUUAGAUACCCCCGUAGUCC